GCCCUCGUGGUGCGAAUGUUAGCACGGCUGGCUACCAAACAGACGAUUUUGAGUUUAAACCCCAGUGAGGGCA
rnacentral:tRNA from 1 species